rnacentral:rRNA from 1 species
GAGUUUGAUCCUGGCUCAGAUUGAACGCUGGCGGCAUGCCUUACACAUGCAAGUCGAGCGGCAGCGCGGGGGCAACCCUGGCGGCGAGCGGCGAACGGGUGAGUAAUACAUCGGAACGUGUCCUGUCGUGGGGGAUAACCAGUCGAAAGAUUGGCUAAUACCGCAUGACCUCGUAAGAGAAAAGCGGGGGACCGUAAGGCCUCGCGCGACUGGAGCGGCCGAUGUCGGAUUAGCUAGUUGGCGGGGUAAAAGCCCACCAAGGCGACGAUCCGUAGCUGGUUUGAGAGAACGACCAGCCACACUGGGACUGAGACACGGCCCAGACUCCUACGGGAGGCAGCAGUGGGGAAUUUUGGACAAUGGGGCAACCCUGAUCCAGCCAUGCCGCGUGUGUGAAGAA